rnacentral:rRNA from 1 species
GACGAACGCUGGCGGCGUGCUUAACACAUGCAAGUCGAACGGAAAGGCCCUGCGUUUGUGGGGUGCUCGAUUGGCGAACGGGUGAGUAACACGUGAGUAACCUGUCCUUGACUGUGGGGUAACUUCAGGAAACUGGGGCUAUUAUCGGAGAGGAGCUCCUGCUGCACGGUGUGGGUUGGAAAGUUUCGGCGUUUCUGGAUGGACUCGCGGCUUAUCAGCCUGUUUGUGGGGUAGUGGCUUACCAAGGCUUUGACGGGUAGCCGGCCUGAGAGGGUGACCGGCCACCUUGGGCCUGCGAUACGGCCCAGUAUCCUACGGGAGGCAGCGGUCGGGAGUCUUGCGCAAUGGGCGGACGCGUGAUGCAGCAGCGCCGCGUGCGGGAUGCCGGCCUUCGGGUUGUAAACAGAUUUCGCAUGUGCCGAGGAGUGAGUGACGGUAAUGGGUAAAGAAGCACCGGCUAACUACGUG